ACAUCGAUAGCUCAGUGGCAGAGCGGUGGGGCGUUUACCCGAGUUUACCCACGCGGCCCGGGUUCGAUUCCCGGUUGAUGUA